ACAAAGGCUCUUUUAAGAGCCACAACAAGUCUGUUCAAGGAGCAU
rfam:Takifugu rubripes genomic scaffold, scaffold_5438